rnacentral:lncRNA from 1 species
AGAUAGAAGCCACCGUUUGCUACGACUGGAAAGCCUUGGUUCGGGGCAGUGGCAGGCCAUAUGGGAAAUGGGCACUUGUUGCUCACGUAAAAUGUGCAUGCUUCCACAACUCCACUACUGCCUGUGGGUUACGUUAAACUAUAAACGAUGCAAAAGAAGAAUGCUUUUUCAUUUAUUUGGUGAGUAUCUGAAUGAAUUUUUGUUGUUAUUGUAGGAGGCAACAAAUUAAAACAAAUCUUGCAACCAUCAAUUGAGUAAUAGGUAUUUCUUGCUUCUUUUUAGCUGUUAGGUUAUUCAAAAAUGUUUUGUUUUAUUCUUGCUGCUAAUUGGAGAAAUAAGUGAGUCACAGAAGAGUAAUUUUUCUUAUUUGGAAUCUAUAGGGCUAUUUGUUGAGUUCAAAUGCUUGUGCUCUUCUUUUAGCAAAGCUUUUAUUAACUAAUAAUCUGAGCCUUAAUUUUGAUUGUCAAAUUCAAUUGUUGAAUUAUAUUUAAUAAUUUGUAUGUCUUGAGCUUGUGAUUCAAUUUUAGCUUUACUUCUGUAGCUUUGACUAUUUUACUAUUUUUCUUGCUAUUUAAUUGCCUACUCUAUGAUACUGACAAAAAAUUCUCGGUACUUCUAAUAAUUUUUUGUCCCUGCUCUUUUCUUCCUUGUACUCCUGUAGAUGUUAAAACUCUAUUUUGAAGCUAGAGUUUUGAAAUUAGCAUGCUUAAGUUGCCAAUAAUUUUUAAAUAAUGACAAUGCUAAAUAUGAGCAAAUUUAAUCUACUGAAAAACUGAGCAUUUUCUUGUGAAAAUAAAGUUGGGAAAUGAUUAUUAUUCUAAGGAAAUUAUUAUUAUUCUAAGUUCUAAGUCAUUAGAUUCUCUACCUAGACACUUUGUCCUUACCCGAGCAUUCAAAUGCAAGGUUAAUAUUUUUGUCCUUACCUGAGCGUUAAAAUGCAAGGUUAAUAUUUAGAAUGCAACCUUAUUUAUUCUUUUUAUAAAUUUUUAAAAUUAUUUAUACUUUAAGGGAAAAUAAAUACCAAAAUUGAUAUUUUUUGUCUAAUGAGAGUAUAAACAUAAUGAGAAGGGGUUUAAAUGCUAGGUUAAUUAUUUACAAAGCAUAUAUAAGUGCAUCGCCUUUAUUUAAUUUUAUAAACACUCUCCUUAUUCCUUGGAUUAGUGACAGGAAGAGAUAUGAAAAAUUGAUAAAUUUUUCAUAAUACAUAGAGAUUGGAUAAGAGAUGAUUUAAUUGAUGGCACAAAAAUAAAAACAAAUAUGCCAGUUAUGAGCCUUAUGUGUUUAGAAAGUAAUUUCUUAGGUUUUUAUUUGUCUAGGACUUAUUGGAAAAAAUAUGUUAAAACUUAUAUUUUUACAGUGUGGGAAAAAAUAUUAAGAUGUAUAAAUCAUAUCUCUAAUUGAUAUUUAAAAAGGAAUAUGAAAAAAUGAUUUUUUGCAAUAAGACUACAUGUGUGUGCUAGGGAAGAUGUAUUAUUACAGUUUAUACUCUGCUUUGGAUUUUUUUCAUUUAUUUAUCUGUUUUUAUGGCCUAUUAGAUGUAAGUUUCAAUUUUGGUUAUCAUGAAGUGUUUAUCCUCUUAGUUGUGUCUUGGAAAGUUUAGUUUUCUGACAUGUUUUCUUGAACCUUUUAUAUUGAAAAUUUAUAAAUCCUCACUAGAUGUUGGACUCAUUUUUGUGUAUUUCAUGAGGAUGUCCCUUUUGUGUUUUUUUUUUUGUGCAUAGGGUUACUUCUUGACAGCAAUCAAUUAAUCUCAAUGGGCAUUGGCUGUGAUCAAUUAACCACUUGUUCUUUUGUGCACCUUAAUAGAUCUCAAUAUGUGAUCUUUUGUAAUUGCAGCCUAUGAUUGCACUUUAUAUUAAGUAUUUAGCAAGUCAUCUCUUGUCUCUGUAAGAUUAACUUGCACUUGAAGAUGUUAAGCUAUUUGUCAAACUACUUGCCAAUCUUUUGUCAUCUUCUCUUCUCUUUUGCAAUGCUAAUGAUUUUUUUGUUUUGUUUAGUCUCAUAUUGUUAGCUGCAUACUUGAUUGGUAAUUUAUAAUUUUAAGAAUGCUAUUUCGCAAACAUUACUGUUAAUCUUAUUUUAUAUGACAAUAGAUUAUAGGGGGCCUAGGCUGUGCUUAGCACAGCCGAUAACCUCCUAGUAUAUAUAUAUA